AACGAACGCUGGCGGCGUGCCUAACACAUGCAAGUCGCGCGAGAAAAGGGAGCAAUCCCCUAGUAGAGCGGCGCACGGGUGAGUAACACGUAGAUAAUCUACCCCUGGGUCUGGAAUAACCUACCGAAAGGUGGGCUAAUACCGGAUAUGACCACGAGGGCUACGGCCCUUGAGGUGAAAGGUGGCCUCUUCUUGAAAGCUACCGCCUGAGGAUGAGUCUGCGCGCCAUUAGCUAGUUGGCGGGGUAAGAGCCCACCAAGGCGAUGAUGGCUAGCUGGUCUGAGAGGAUGACCAGCCACACUGGGACUGACACACGGCCCAGACUCCUACGGGAGGCAGCAGUGGGGAAUAUUGCGCAAUGGGCGAAAGCCUGAUCCAGCAAUGCCGCGUGAGUGAUGAAGGCCUUAGGGUUGUAAAGCUCUUUUACCCGGGAUGAUAAUGACAGUACCGGGAGAAUAAGCUCCGGCUAACUCCGUGCCAGCAGCCGCGGUAAU
rnacentral:rRNA from 1 species